GGGAACGCAACACAUAUGUUGCGAUUGAAGCAGAAGCUAAGAAAAAAAAUCUUUCUAGGAGAGAAGGAAACUUUAGAAUCAGUUAAUUCAAAGUUUGAAGCUCCAAUACCGUGAUUCUUUAUUCAAGGGAUUUCCUGUGCAUCCUUAGAUUUCUUUACGUGGAGAAGAACAAGGUAGCUGAAGAAGUUGAACAAAGUGCUCGAGGUGACGUGUUUGGUAUUCUUGCACGAGUACUAUUCGAGGCUUUCAGAGACCAAUUUUUGUGGCAAGGGAAUAGCGGAAAAAAUAAUUACGCGGUUUGAG